GUCAUACUCACUCUGUCCAACCAAAUAUGUAUCAAGUUUGUCAAAAUUUGGAUGUAUCUAAACAUGAUUUAGUGUAUAGAUGCAUGCAAAUUUAGUCAAAGUUAAGACAUCAUUUAUUGGACGGAGCGAGUACAAA
rfam:Brachypodium distachyon strain Bd21 chromosome 3, whole genome shotgun sequence.